CACGGAGGAUGCGAGCGUUAUCCGGGUUUAUUGGGUUUAAAGGGUGCGUAGGUGUUUUUUAAGUCAGUGGUGAAAGUUUGUCGCUCAACGAUAAAUUGCCAUUGAAACUGGGGAACUUGAGUAUGUUUGAGGUAGGCGGAAUGCGUGGUGUAGCGGUGAAAUGCAUAGAUAUCACGCAGAACUCCAAUUGCGAAGGCAGCUUACUAAACCAUAACUGACACUGAAGCACGAAAGCGUGGGUAUCAAACAGG
rnacentral:rRNA from 1 species